UACGUAGGGGGCUAGCGUUGUCCGGAAUCAUUGGGCGUAAAGCGCGUGUAGGCGGUUCGGUAAGUCCGCUGUGAAAGUCGGGGGCUCAACCCUCGGAAGCCGGUGGAUUCUGUCAAGCUAGAGUUCGGAAGAGGCGAGUGGAAUUCCUGGUGUAGCGGUGAAAUGCGCAGAUAUCAGGAGGAACACCAAUUGCGAAGGCAGCUCGCUGGGACGUUACUGACGCUGAGACGCGAAAGCGUGGGGAGCAAACAGG
rnacentral:rRNA from 1 species